rnacentral:rRNA from 1 species
UACGGGGGGGGCAAGCGUUGUUCGGAAUUACUGGGCGUAAAGGGCUCGUAGGUGGCCAACUAAGUCGGACGUGAAAUCCCUCGGCUUAACCGGGGAACUGCAUCCGAUACUGGAUGGCUUGAGUUCGGGAGAGGGAUGCGGAAUUCCAGGUGUAGCGGUGAAAUGCGUAGAUAUCAGGAAGAACACCUAUGGCGAAGGCAGCUCUCUGGGACGGUACUGACGCUGAGACGCGAAAGCGUGGGUAGCGAACAGG